UUAAGCCAUGCAUGUCUAAGUACAUGCCGUAUUAAGGCGAAACCGCGAAUGGCUCAUUAAAUCAGUUACGGUUUCUUAGAUGUUGACUAUCUACAUGGAUAACUGUGGUAAUUCUAGAGCUAAUACAUGCACAAAAGCUUCGACCUUUACGGAAGAAGCGCAUUUAUUAGACCAAGACCAAUGGGGUUCUUCACGGGACUCCUCAAUGUGGUGACUCUGGAUAACUGUUGCUAAUCGCAUGGCCUAUGUGCCGGCGAUGAAUCUUUCAAGUGUCUGCCUUAUCAACUGUCGAUGGUAGGUUAUGCGCCUACCAUGGUUGUAACGGGUAACGGGGAAUCAGGGUUCGAUUCCGGAGAGGGAGCCUGAGAAACGGCUACCACAUCCAAGGAAGGCAGCAGGCACGCAAAUUACCCAAUCCCAGAACGGGGAGGUAGUGACGAAAAAUAACAAUACGGGACUCUUAUGAGGCCCCGUAAUUGGAAUGAGAACAAUCUAAAUCCUUUAACGAGGAUCAAUUGGAGGGCAAGUCUGGUGCCAGCAGCCGCGGUAAUUCCAGCUCCAAGAGCAUAUAUUAAAGUUGUUGCAGUUAAAAAGCUCGUAGUUGAAUUUCUGGUACAACGCACCUGGCCCGCAGCCAUUAGGCUUGUGUGCGCUGGAGUGCGUUUACCAUCCUUCUAGAAAACGGGUCUGCCAUUAACUUGGUGGGUUCGCGAUCUAGAUCAUUUACUUUGAAAAAAUUAGAGUGUUUAAAGCAAGCAAUUGCUAUGAAUACAUUAGCAUGGAAUAAUAAUCUAGGACUUCGGUUCUAUUUUGUUGGUUUCUAAAACUGAAGUAAUGAUUGAUAGGGACAGUUGGGGGUGCUAGUAUUGGCCGGCCAGAGGUGAAAUUCUUGGAUUCGGUCAAGACUAGCUUAUGCGAAAGCAUUCACCAAGGAUGUCUUCUUUAAUCAAGAACGAAAGUUGGGGGAUCGAAGACGAUCAGAUACCGUCGUAGUCUCAACCAUAAACUAUGCCAACUAGGGAUGGGUGAACGUUGCUUUUUCGACUUCAUCCGCACCUUAUGAGAAAUCAAAGUCUUUGGGUUCCGGGGGGAGUAUGGUCGCAAGGCUGAAACUUAAAGGAAUUGACGGAAGGGCACCACCAGGAGUGGAGCCUGCGGCUUAAUUUGACUCAACACGGGAAAACUCACCAGGUCCGGACAUGGUAAGGAUUGACAGAUUGAUAGCUCUUUCAAGAUUCUAUGGGUGGUGGUGCAUGGCCGUUCUUAGUUGGUGGAGUGAUUUGUCUGGUUAAUUCCGAUAACGAACGAGACCUCUGCCUAACGCUGGAAGCCUGGGUACGAGAGCACUUGGGUCCCUCCUUUAGGGACAAACUGCGUUUAGCAGUUGGAAGUUGGAGGCAAUAACAGG
rnacentral:rRNA from 1 species